ensembl:lncRNA
CUCUCUCUACUUCCCUCCCUCCCUCCCUCUCUCUCUACCUCCCUCCCUCCUUUCCCUUCUCUCUACCUCCCUCCCUCCUCCCUCCUUUCCCCUCUCUCUACCUCCCUCCCUCGCUGUCGCCCGCCCACGCUACCUAACCUUGAGUCUUACAGAAUAGCUGUUAGACGAGGCAGUAGAACAGCUGUGAUCCUCUCCGCCCACUCUUUUCAUUCUUCGCUCUUGCAUUUUUUUCCAGUCUCUUUUCAUCCCUUUUCCUCUCCACAUGCCUGCAGUGCUUUAUCUUCAUACAUGGGACUGAGAGCUUAUGCGGCUCAGAUGGGAGGUGUAACUGCUGUGUGCUACAUGAACGCGCGUGGCCGUGCACGGAGGUGGGUAGUGCCAAGCAAGGGAUGCUGAACGGAGGCCGUGAGGGCCUGUUCGAGCAGGGCAGGCGCUUCCAGCAGGAGGGUGAUUCCAGGGCGGCUCUGCAGUGCUUUCUCAGCUGCCUGCUGGGUCUGACCCAUGUGCACAGCUUUCACUUGCUGCCAAACUGCCUGCAUCAGAUGAGAAAGCACUGCAGUUCAUUCAGGCAGAGAAGAUGUUCUAUGAGGUGGCAUUGAUCGAACUCACUGCUCUACAAGGAAGCACAGGCUCUCAGGAGGACAGUACACUGGGUUCACCAGGAUGGCUCUCCCCAGAGGAGUUAUCAGAACAGGUCUCGCAGGCCCAGGAUCUUGAGAGGCUGGCCCAACUUUGCAUCAUGAGUAAAAGACCUCAUCUUGCUUUAGAGUAUAGUGGCAAGGCUACAAAAAUACACCAGCGAGCAUUUGGUAAUGAUCACCCCAUCACAGCCAGGAGCCUGGAGCUUCUGGGCACAGUCUAUGCUGAGAUUGGCAAGACUGAAUACUCAGACUCAUUGGGUCAGUGUGUGUCAGCUCUGUCAAAAACAUCCUCUGCCCCUGAGUCAUACAACAAUACAUUCAACGGUUUUGCUCUAAGUCAUAAAGAUUCUGAGCUCUGGCACAGAAAAGAUCCACAUCCUCUGUCAGACACUCCAAAACCAAAGGUCAUCAACAGUAAGAUCCCCAUCUCCAUCCUAAAGAGGACCAACGAGCCGUCCUCAACUCAGCGUCGGAAAACGGAUAGGCGUGUUCGUUUCACCGAACCAGAGAUUACUGUUCAUGGAUAUGACUCAUCUCAGAGCCGUCCCCACCUGGCCCUGCUUACAUGUCUGUUCCUGCUGCUCUCAGCAUUGGGUUUAGCUCUGUACUGCACACACCGCCGACGGCCCCAUCGUGCCUGUGAAGAACUACAGGCAGCACUCGCUGUCUAUCUGCUGCGGUUCAAACAAAUCCUGUGGGGCUGCUGGAUCUGGCUGACCAUGCAGUGAGCAUAACAGAUGACCAGUGGCAUCACUGUUCUCUACACAUGCUUCCAUGAGCACAGAAAGCCAGACAAUGGUACAGAACAGACUAAAGAGAUAAGAAUCAUGGUUUCAUGGAAAAACUUUGGAAUAAUGGUUACUUAAAAUAAGACCCUUUAUUUGAUGGUCCCCACACCCUGGGACUAAAAAUGCCUUCUAAAUCCACUCAUGAAAAAACAGUUAACUUUUGCGCACCAACUACAGAUGGCAUUCUUAUGCCCUUUAUGACUUUAAUGCCAUAUCCUCAUUUUUACUGAGAGGCAGAUACAUUUCAAUAUCUCUGCUUGUAGCAGUUGAGUUUAGACCACGUUUAUGUUUCUAACGAUGUCUCUUACAACCUAUUUAAAGAAUAUUCAUAUAAAAUCAUUGAAUAAAAUCUUAAUGUAUUAAAGUUAGAUUUAGGUUGAAGAAAAUUGAAAAUUAGAUUUUGAUUAUUCUUUAAAUCAAUAUAUGAAGGUCACACUCAAUCACACAGCUGCACCUAUGCUUCUCCAUAAAUGUUCUCACCUAUUUUCUUAUUUACUACAGUUUGCAGCAGUCUAUAUAGAAUGCAAAACACUAUUAUUGAUUUCACUAUUAAUACAAUAUGCUUUGAAUAAUUACACAUGUAUAUAGAAAAUAUUAAUGACUAUCACCUAAGUAAUCCAUAUUAUUGUGCACAUUGUAUUUUAAUGUACAUAGAAUCAUGAACACUCAGUACUCAGUGUAACUCUGUUACAAAUGAUUGACUAUGGUGUAAAGUUAAGCACAAUGUUUCCAUCUUUUACAUUUACUAAAAACGUGAAACAAGACAGUUUCACAGUGUAGCCAGCCAUAUUUUCUGCCAAGUCAGAUUUACUUCAUAAUUCAAUGGGCAAGGACAAUUUUUAGUUUACAAAAAUCCAAAUUAGUAUAUUUGAACUAUUUCUAUGUUCCUGUCAGUUGUGUUUAUUUUUUUGCUGUUGCAUGUAUAUAAUACUUAUUUAUUUGACUAUUUUUGUAUUUUUUUCUAUCUACUAUUUUCUAUAGUUAAUAUCAUUUUGGUUAUGUUUUUUUUUUUUUUUUUUAAAUUGAUCUCAGCAUUAGUGAUUUUAAUUAUAUCAUGAGAGUAUUUUCAAACCUUUAAAGCUAAUGGUAUAUUUCCACUUAAACCUUACAGAUAUAAAUGGGCAUUCACUACUGAUUAUGAUCAAAUGUUCAAGCAAUAAAAUGUUCUUUCUGUAAUUGAUCACAAUGACAUUAAUUAUAUGCCAAUAAUAAUGGAUGAAGCACUUUUACAAAAAUGCUAGUAAAAAUAUCCUCAUCAUAAGGGAUUAUACCAAAUACAUACCCAAUAUUCUCACUUUAUUUGAUCUAUGUAUCAUAUUUAAUCCCUUUUAAUGAAUGUUUUUCAUUUAAGAAUGAAAAAAAAAAAUUUACCUAAAAAUCUAUAACCAUUUGUUUCCAACACACUAACUGGGCCUCACCAUCAAUCAUUAAUUAGCAUUCCAUUAGCAUUUGGUCAUAAGAGUCCCUACUGCAGAUUAAUGCCGGACAUUAGAUGUGUUUCCACUCUUAUUCUUGUAGCUAACUGUACUUUAAUCAUGCUCUUUGGUAGGCGGAGUUCUGGAGCUGUACACACUAUACUUUGAGUACCAUUACAUCAUGAGCAGUGACAUGUAGGACAGAUUGCAUAAAGUUCAACACAUUCAUUACCUACUAUCAUAUGCAGAAAAAUAAAACCACUGUGAGAUAUUUGGGAGGAAAUGAAUGGCGGUCUAGGUCACAUAAAAUGUCUGAAAAUCUUUUUGCGGAAUAAUUACACUGAAUGUAUCUUUGUACAUAAUUAUGCAUAAAAAGCUAAACAGUAUACAGCGCAUGAUUGCCCGUUGUAUAGCACAGCUUAAUACUGUACAUGUGUACUGUUGUUUGAAGAAAGUUUUAACCAACUGGUUUGUACUUGAAUUUCAAAUCUUCAAGGCAAUAUUAGGCACUGUUCACUUACAAGGGAAUUGAAUAUAGAUCCUUUGAUACUUUAUUUGCUUUAUUUAUAAAGCAGUGAAGUCUCAUCAGACAGAGCACAUGCUCUCUUUAUGAUCUGGGUUUGAUUUGGUUGGGUGUGUUUCCUCUCCCUUUUUUCAUUAGUGACACUGUAUGAGUCUACUUUUAAUAGAAGUGCCUUUUUAAGGUUCUCUCCUUUCUCUCAGUUUAAAUCACACUGUAACAGGUCGUCAAUAAAAGCCAUCAAAUAAACUAUAUUGCAAACCAGAGAGAUGAUGUAUGCUACGACUUUUCAUUGGCUGAAUGUUUUAUUCACUCACUCACUUUCAAUAACUACUUUUUAUGAUCCAAAGCCUGUGAGGCAAGAAUACACCCUGGAUGGUAUGCCAUUUCAUUGCAGGGCACCAUACACACUUAUUCACUCACACCUACAGACAAUUUAUCUUAGCCAAGCCAUCUACUGGCAUGUUUUGGGCAGUGGGAGGAACCUAGAGGACAUCCAUGCAGACACAAGUUCAGGAUCGAACCAGGGAUCCUGGAGUUGUGAGGCAGCAACGCUACCCAUACUGCAUGUUUCAGGUAGAUAAAAAAAUGUUAGUUGUUAACACUAUAAUAGCAUUUA